rnacentral:lncRNA from 1 species
GAGAGAUGAAUGUAGCCACCAGCUGUCUGUUUUUUUCUUUAGAGGGGCAGGGAGUCAUUCAACCUAAGAAUUUUUCCUUGCUGUCUUGCAUAUCCCAACAGGCCUCCCUUCAUUCUUACAGUGUGACUGACCUAAAUUCAAAAUAUGAAGAGGACCCGUGGGCUAAAAGGAAGAAGAUUAUGGGCAAGUACUGCAAGAACUGGCAACAGUCUCAUAUUAUGUGGACAACUCUACAGUGCAUGUUUGUUUGGGCUCUCCCUUUUCCCUGCUCCAAACUCCCUGUCCCUGACUUUUGCUUACUGGGUCCAGUCCCCAGUAGAGUAGCUGCUCUUAGGCUUUUGUCUUAGGAGAACUCAGGGGAACACAUGGCCUAUGCUCUGGCA